CGCUGAAGAAACAAGAACUAUGCCUCAAAAUAGUGGCCUGCCUUCGACCCACCGAGAGACGGAGAGAGAGAAUGGGGCUGCAGUGGGUGAUUUUGGCGGGGGUGGUGGCAAUGGAGGCCGCGGUCGCGGUGCUGCUGACUCUCCCCGCCCCGCGUCUCGUCAAGUCGCGGAUCGUUGCCUUGGCGUCGCUCCUCCUUCAGCCCGGAGCCAGUAUCCUCCCUUUCGCGGCCUUCCAGUUCUUAGAUUUGCGUUGGAAGAACGAGCAUCGGCUGAUGUGUACCUUCGAGGUCUGUACCACCGAAGAGAGGACUCGAUACGAGAAAUCCAUAUUUAAAGCACAGAGAAACGUCAUUCUAUGUGUCUCAGCAUGUCUCCUUUAUUGGUGUAUCUUUCGUAUUUGCAAAUACCACAAAGAGAUCAGGGAAUUGGAAGAAGUUGAGAAGCAUCUGAAAGAUCAGUAGCCAUACCAUGUCUGAUGAUGUUUAAAUUACAUGAAGGAGCUUGGCUUUCCAUGAAUUGAAGUCUUCAUGCAAUCAGCCACUUGUGAUGCUGAAACCGUCUAAUAAUCCUGCCAUGUCUUUCCAGAUUACACAACAGAAACACCGCACACAGACAAGAAAGGUUCAAGUGGUUCAGUGGUCAUCAUGUUACAUGAACAAGAAAGGAAGCAACAAGAAAAGGAAAUCAAGAACAAAUCAAAGACAAACAAGAAACGAAAGGCUCAGUUGCAACUGCUGGUUACGCUAAUUCCUCCGUCGAACUGAACUCAUCUUCCAUCGGCCGAGGUGAAGGAGUCGGCGAAGCCCGGCGGCCCCGUCGGUAUGCUGGUGUAGGUGUUGUCCAAGCUUGCGAGGAACGAGCUCGUGGCUCCGUCGAUGUGGCUUCGGUCCUCGAAUGCCUGCCAUUUCUUCAGUGCUUGGGGAAGCGUCAUAUCCAGGUCGAUCCCGUAGCUCUCCUCCGAGUCGGGAUCACAAGGCUUCCAAAGCUCUGAGAGCGAAGAGAGCACGUUGACCGCGUGCCCCAUGUCCGGCCUCUGGUGAGGCUCCCUGGCACAGCAGUGGCCGGCGAGCUCCGCUACGGUCCCGACGCUGGUCGCGGUCUCCUCGUCCAUGUCGAUCGCGGGGUCGAUGGCAGCCUUUCGGAAGGCCUCCUUGUCGAGGAGCAUCCUCCGAAACCAUGUCACCAGGUGCAUGCUCUCCUCCGGUUGGCUCUCGUCGAGCGCCUUCCUCCCGGUGAUCAUCUCCAUCAGUAUCACUCCAAAGCUGAAGACAUCAACCUUUGUGGUCACACGCCCCGUCACUGCAAGCAAGUUAGAACGAUCAGAACAACAACAUCAGGCCCAUGCAAACUCAUGAUCCAAUCAUUCUGGAUUACCCGCAUACUCUGGUGCUAGAUAUCCAAAAGUUCCUGCAAUCCUCGUCUCGACGGAACACCCUUUCCCGUCCGGUGCAAGCCGAACCAGUCCGAAGUCGGCGACCUUGGCCUUCAUGUCGUCCCCAAGGAGAAUGUUGGACGGCUUCAGAUCCCUGUGGAUGAAGCUCUGCUGCGCCAAGCUGUUCGAACAGAUGGCGGCUCAGCGUCCCCUGCGGCAUGUACUCGUACACCAGCAGCCUCUCGUUCCCAUCCAAGCAGUACCCGAGCAGAGACACCAAAUUCCGAUGCCUGACCUUCGUGAGGACCGCGAUCUCCGACUUGAACUCGUUCAGUCCCUUCGUCCCCAUCGCGCCUGCCUCCAUCCUCUUGACCGCGAUCUUGGUGCCGUCGUGCAGCUCGCCCUUGUACACCGUUCCGAAUCCGCCGUGGCCCAGCACGUUUUCCUCGCUGAAGUUGUCGGUCACGUUCCUCAGGACCUGGAUCGAGAUGACCAUGUUCCCGGCCUCGAGGACAUGGACGUCGCUCGUGCCACUGGUCGUCGGGCUGGUAAUCGUCUCGCUCGCGGCUGCGC